rnacentral:tRNA from 1 species
GCUCGUGUAGCUCAGGGGUAGAGCACACCCUUGGUAAGGGUGAGGUCGGCGGUUCAAUUCCGCCCACGAGCU